CAGCUGCUCAAAAUGUGGAAUCCUCUGAGUUUAAAUAAUGAACAAUAAGUGUGCUGUAACAAAGGAAGGGAGGCAACUACCUCACCAGCCUCUCAGGGAUGAGGAGGAUUACAUUCAAGAUGAUUCCCCAGGUACUCUGGGACAGAAGCAUCCUAAACGGCUGUUGGGGCAGUAUUAUACCACGAAAAGGAGAGAGCCGAGAGACCAGUAGCAUAUGCAAGUAAAAAAUUGAAUGCAGCAGAAUGAAGUUACAGGCUAGGGGUAUCCAACAAAGUCACUGAUUUUUGGUCCCAAUGCAGCGAAGUUGCAACAAAUCUGAGAGAUGAACAAAGCCGAGAAGAUGACAAACCACACCAUAGAGACGCAAACUCCUCGACACCACAAGGCAACUUAAUUGGGAGGAUAUGUGGCAGAGAGAGAGAGACUGCCAUGCAGCAGGAAUUAUAGGAAACACUGAGGCAGCAAGCAGUCUGGCUGCCAGCAGUGGAAGAAGGGAAGGAAAGGGAACAUCUGACCCCAGCAAGGGCACGCCUUGUAAAUACAU